rnacentral:rRNA from 1 species
ACUCCUACGGGAGGCAGCAGUAGGGAAUCUUCCGCAAUGGGCGAAAGCCUGACGGAGCGACGCCGCGUGAGCGAAGAAGGCCUUCGGGUCGUAAAGCUCUGUUGUGAGGGACGAAGGAGCGCCGUUCGAAGAGGGCGGCGCGGUGACGGUACCUCACGAGAAAGCCCCGGCUAACUACGUGCCAGCAGCCGCGGUAAUACGUAGGGGGCGAGGCGUUGUCCGGAAUUAUUGGGCGUAAAGCGCGCGCAGGCGGUCUCUUAAGUCUGAUGUGAAAGCCCACGGCUCAACCGUGGAGGGUCAUUGGAAACUGGGGACUUGAGGGCAGGAGGAGGAGAGCGGAAUUCCACGUGUAGCGGUGAAAUGCGUAGAGAUGUGGAGGAACACCAGUGGCGAAGGCGGCUCUCUGGCCUGCACCUGACGCUGAGGCGCGAAAGCGUGGGGAGCAAACAGGAUUAGAUACCCUGUA